UUGGAGGGCAAGUCUGGUGCCAGCAGCCGCGGUAAUUCCAGCUCCAAUAGCGUAUAUUAAAGUUGUUGCAGUUAAAAAGCUCGUAGUUGAAUUUCGGGAUCAAUGCGUCGGUCGUGCCUUCGGUACGUACUGGCGUCAUUGAUUCCUCCCUUCUGAAGAACCGUGAUGUCAUUAAUUUGGUGUUACGGGGAAUCAGGACUGUUACCUUGAAAAAAUUAGAGUGUUUAAAGCAGGCUAACGCUUGAAUACAUUAGCAUGGAAUAAUGAAAUAGGACGUUCGAACCUAUUUUGUUGGUUUCUAGGAUCGACGUAAUGAUUAAUAGGGAUAGUUGGGGGCAUUAGUAUUCAAUUGUCAGAGGUGAAAUUCUUGGAUUUAUUGAAGACUAACUACUGCGAAAGCAUUUGCCAAGGAUGUUUUCAUUAAUCAAGAACGAAAGUUAGGGGAUCGAAGACGAUCAGAUACCGUCGUAGUCUUAACCAUAAACUAUGCCGACUAGGGAUCGGAUGAUGUUAAUUUUAUAAUGACUCAUUCGGCGCCUUACGGGAAAC
rnacentral:rRNA from 1 species